rnacentral:rRNA from 1 species
GACAGCAGCCGCCACGGGAAUACGAAGGGGGCUAGCGUUGUUCGGAAUUACUGGGCGUAAAGCGCACGUAGGCGGAUAUUUAAGUCAGGGGUGAAAUCCCGCAGCUCAACUGCGGAACUGCCUUUGAUACUGGGUAUCUUGAGUAUGGAAGAGGUUAGUGGAAUUGCGAGUGUAGAGGUGAAAUUCGUAGAUAUUCGCAGGAACACCAGUGGCGAAGGCGGCUAACUGGUCCAUAACUGACGCUGAGGUGCGAAAGCGUGGGGAGCAAACAGGAUUAGAUACCCGUGUAGUCCCUGUCUCUUAUAU